AGAUCUUAAAAAUGUCCACUGAACCACCGGGAGAUGACAAAGUACGAGUGAGAUAUCGCCAUAACAGAUCAAAAGCUCUGCGACCUAGACCGCUCAGUUAUGUUCCGACUACAGAGGAGAAUUUGAAGUUAUUUAACACACGACCCUUGAGGUAGAUUU